rnacentral:rRNA from 1 species
UACGGAGGGUGCGAGCGUUGUCCGGAAUCACUGGGCGUAAAGGGCGCGUAGGUGGCGUCGCAAGUCAACGGUGAAAGCUCGACGCUCAACGUCGAGUCGGCCGUCGAGACUGCGAGGCUUGAGCACUGUAGAGGCAGAUGGAAUUCCGGGUGUAGCGGUGGAAUGCGUAAGAGACGUCGAAGAACACCGGUGGCGAAGGCGGUCUGCUGGGCAGUUGCUGACACUGAGGCGCGACAGCGUGGGAGCAAACAGG